UGGGGAAUCUUGCGCAAUGGGCGAAAGCCUGACGCAGCGACGCCGCGUGGGGGAGGAAGCAUUUCGGUGUGUAAACCCCUGUCAGGAGGGAAGAACGGGCGGCCGAGGAAAUGCGGUCGUUUUGACGGUACCUCCAGAGGAAGCACCGGCUAACUCUGUGCCAGCAGCCGCGGUAAUACAGAGGGUGCGAGCGUUGUUCGGAAUUACUGGGCGUAAAGCGCGCGUAGGCGGUCGUUUAAGUCUUACCGUGAAAUGCCGGGGCUCAACCCCGCGCACGUCGGGGGAUACUGGACGACUGGAGACAAGUAGAGGCGAGCGGAAUUCCGGGUGUAGCGGUGGAAUGCGUAGAGAUCCGGAAGAACACCAGAGGCGAAGGCGGCUCGCUGGGCUUGGUCUGACGCUGAGGCGCGAAAGCGUGGGGAGCGAACAG
rnacentral:rRNA from 1 species